ensembl:lncRNA
UUGUCACGAUCUCUAGCUGGAGUGCCUGUGAGCUUCAGUAGAGGGCACUCCACUCAGGACUCAUUCAGAACUCCAUUUCCCAUCCUGCCUCACUCCUGGGACUGAUUGCACACACACACCUGCACCUAAUUCCACACACACACCUGCAGCUAAUACACACACACCCAUAUAAGCAGCACACUCACACCAUCACACUGUGAAGUCUUGUUUAGACUGUCUAACAUUUCCGAGUGGUUUCCCUUUGUAUGUUCUUCCGUGUCUGACUUUUGGAUUGUGUAUUCUGACUCUGAUUCUCUUCUGCCUGCCCCGAUCUCUGCUUGUUUCUGGUUUCGAUUCUGGUUACCCCUGACGUACCUGACGCCAUUCCUGAUUUCCACCUGUCUGACCACUCUGUUAAUAAAUACUGCAAUUGGAUCCGAACGUCUCUGACUCUCCAGUGUAACAGAAGACUUCGCCAAACCAGGAUCCAGCAGUCCGGAAUUCUCUCAUUACCAAGAUGUCGGUUCCCAAUUCUAGGUCAGUGUGUCAACUAUCUAGCCCUAUCAUUGACCCAGUGGACCAGCUACUGCACCUUCGGCAAGGAGAUCAAUCUAUUCAGGAGUAUGUUCAGCAGUUCUGUGAGUUAGUAUAUCAAGUUCCUCUAAAUGAUGAAGCUUUGUUUAAGGACUUGUUUCGUUUUGGACUCAAUGAAUCAAUUAAAUCAUGGUUACCUGGAGGGGAAUUUAAUGGCCGUCUAAGACAUUAUGGACUAUGCACUCUUGUUAUGUGGUUCUCCUUUCACUGUGGGAGAGGCAGAGGACUUUAAAACCCCAAAGUCUCUCCACGAAAUGGCUACCAGCCCGGAGGCGGUUCGCAAAAUGGCCACCGCUCCUGAGACUCAUCCUGUCAUGGCCGCCAGCCCAGCGCCACAGCACAAGAUGGCCGCCAGCCCAGCGCCACAGCACAAGAUGGCCGCCAGCCCAGCGCCACAGCACAAGAUGGCCGCCAGCCCAGCGCCACAGCACAAGAUGGCCGACUCAAUGCCUGAGUCUCCGGACAAGGUACCACCGACUCGCCGUCAUAGAGGGCGGAGGAGGAGACAGGCAUCAACCGUUCCUCAAGGCCCGGAGGCCGUUCCCGAGCAGCCCGCUGCCGUCCCGGAGGCCGUUCCCGAGCAGCCCGCUGCCGUCCCGGAGGCCGAGGCGGUGCCCGAGGCCGUUCCCGAUGCGGUGGCCGAGGCGGGGUCUGAGGCCAUUCCCGAGGUGGUGCCCGAGGCGGUGUCCGAUGCGGUGCCCGAGAUGGUUCCCGAAGCCGAGGCGCUUCACGUCUCCAGAGGCCGUCCAGAGCACCUUCGCGACUCCACAGGCCGUCCAGAGUCAGGUCAGGUCCCCGCUGACCGUCCAGAGUCAGGUCAGGUCCCCGCUGACCUUAGUGAACAAGGUCAAGUCACAGUUAAACUUUAUGAGGCCAGUCAAAUCACUACCAAUCUUCCAGAGUUUCAUCAUACCACAACAGAUCAUCCAGAGCCUCGUCACAGCCUGUCUGUUGCACCAAGCAAGGUUCUCUCAGCCUGUUGUAUUGAUGUCAAGGAGACUGUAACUGCUGCAGAACCUUCGGAGGUGUCAGUAGAAUCCAUCCAGGAACUCUCGUCCUGUCAUGGCCAAGGAGGUCAUCCACCAACUCACCGCCCAUCCUGUCACGGCCACGGAGGCCGUCUAUGAACUCAUUGCCUGCCCUGUCACGGCUAAGGAGCCGUCUAUGAACUCUCGUCCUACCCUGUCACGGCCAUGGAGACCGGCUGUGAACUCUCUGCCGG